CCCCAUUCGACCCGUCUUGUAACACGGACCAAGGAGUCUGACAUGUGUGCGAGUCAACGGGCCAGUAAACCCGUAAGGCGCAAGGAAGCUGACUGGCGGGAUCCCCCAGCGGGUUGCACCGCCGACCGACCUUGAUCUUCUGAGAAGGGUUCGAGUGAGAGCAUGCCUGUCGGGACCCGAAAGAUGGUGAACUAUGCCUGAGCGGGGCGAAGCCAGAGGAAACUCUGGUGGAGGCCCGCA
rnacentral:rRNA from 1 species